GGUGUAAAAAUAACCUGGGAAGAAAAACAAAAAUACAAGUAAACAAUAAUAGAAAGAGUUGUACAAUCAUUUUAAACAUAUUUCCAUUUUAGUCAUGUUGUAAAAGAAAAAUCAGAAUAAAAGGAAAAAAUCCACAAGAGAAAAGAAGCAAACAACAAGAACAAAAGAAGGAAGAACAACAACCACCAGCUCAGAAAAAUUAAAUACUGGACCAAGAAAACAGUUGAUAAAGGAGGUUUGGUGUUUCUCAAUAAUAUUUAUGAUUAUCUACCUUCCAGAGCUUUCUAGGUGCUCCCACUGUACAAUGUCACUGCUGAUGAUGGAGAAGCAAUGAUGGGGAGAGCAGUCCCCUUCUCUGUCUUGCUGUCUUCUCAACAUAAGGGUGAGUGCAGAACUCCCUCCAGAGCCCUGUCCUUUCUGCUUUCUGCUAAUUUCUUGA